GAUCCUGGCUCAGGAUGAACGCUAGCGACAGGCUUAACACAUGCAAGUCGAGGGGCAGCACGGGAGUAGCAAUACAACUGGUGGCGACCGGCGCACGGGUGAGUAACGCGUAUGCAACCUACCUAUCAGAGGGGAAUAACCCGGCGAAAGUCGGACUAAUACCGCAUAAAACAGGGGCACCGCAUGGUGAUAUUUGUUAAAGAGAUUCGCUGAUAGAUGGGCAUGCGUUCCAUUAGGUAGUUGGUGAGGUAACGGCUCACCAAGCCGACGAUGGAUAGGGGAACUGAGAGGUUGGUCCCCCACACUGGUACUGAGACACGGACCAGACUCCUACGGGAGGCAGCAGUGAGGAAUAUUGGUCAAUGGGCGGGAGCCUGAACCAGCCAAGUCGCGUGAAGGAAGAAGGAUCUAUGGUUCGUAAACUUCUUUUGCAGGGGAAUAAAGUGCAGGACGUGUCCUGUUUUGUAUGUACCCUGAGAAUAAGGAUCGGCUAACUCCGUGCCAGCCGCGGC
rnacentral:rRNA from 1 species